rnacentral:rRNA from 1 species
CCCGGGUUGAUCAAUCCGGUAUUCUUACCCGGUGCACUUCACCGCGUGGUCAGGCCCAGCCAUCCGGUUCGGUGCGGGCUGGAUAAAGUCCACUGGAACGUAGCUUCCUCUCGGGGGAGUGUUAUAACCCAGAGGGGCCCAUGCAACCCGCCCGAGCCCGAGGCCCGCGCUUCGGCUAGGAUGCUGGCCGUAAUGGUUGUAAGCCUCCCGUCUUGAAACACGGAUCCAGGAGUCUAACUUCAAUACGACUAUUCGAGUGUCAAACCCAUGCGCGUAAUGAAAGUGAACGGAGGUGCGAACCCUUAAGGGCGCACCAUCGACCGAUCCUGAUGUCUUCGGAUGGAUUUGAGUAAGAGCAUAGCUGUUGGGACCCGAAAGAUGGUGAACUAUGCCUGAAUAGGGUGAAGCCAGAGGAAACUCUGGUGGAGGCUCGCAGCGGUUCUGACGUGCAAAUCGAUCGUCAAAUUUGGGUAUAGGGGCGAAAGACUAAUCGAACCAUCUGCUACUAGAUGGCAUACGGGCCUGCGGGCACCCAGUAGUCCCCGCACGACGGGGGCGACAUCGUCGGUCUCUUCGUCUGGGCUACCCGCAGUGAGCCUCGGGGCUCAUUCCCUUUUUCUAAAUGGCGGUGGCCGUGCCCUGGAUCACGGUUAGGAU